rnacentral:misc_RNA from 1 species
UCUCAGAAUUCUUGAAGUUUGAUGAGUGGAUAGAAGAAGAUGAUCAACCUUCUCUGCUUUCUGCUUCUACCCAAAAUCCUGUUUAUCGAGCUCAUGUAAUCGGUGAUUCAGGUUUAGCUACCAGCACCCAUGGAGGGCCUAGUAUCGAGGGCAGGGAACAGAAGGAAGGUAAAGAGAGGGUGGCAUUCAAGACAAAAACAGAAGUUGAGAUACUAGAUGAUGGGUUUAAGUGGAGGAAGUAUGGGAAGAAGAUGGUCAAGAAUAGCCCAAACCC